rnacentral:lncRNA from 1 species
CUCGGCUUCCACCGCGCGACACGGGGGUCCGUGGGCGGCGGCUAGUGCCCCGGCCACCCCCGCAGUUCCCUGAGGCCUGCGUGGGGCCCGGCUUUGGCCACUUCCGGAACUGAGUGUGGGCCACAGUGCGACUUUGUCCUUCCCUGUCCAGGUCCCCGUCCACGCCCCCCCACCCAGGUCGAGGUCCUCGGACGUUGUCGCCCAGCCCAUGCCCCCGCCCAGCCUCCUGAGUCCCAUGGAAAUGUGCGGGUGUCCCCUUGACCCCACCUCCGGAAAGACACCCCAGUUCAGGUCAAGAGCAUCACAAAUCCCCACUUUGUUAUCAAGAAGCCAAAGAACAACCACAACAAAAAGCGACCCGAUAUUACAAGGCAGUUUUCCCCACAAAGUCGGACCUCAGCUGGAGGGGGGGCUAGAGCCCUGGGGGAGAGCCUGGCGCUGGAGCCCCCGGGAACUGUUACCCUAAACCGAGGCCCACCGAAGGAAAGUUUGCGUCAUCCUGAAGUUCCUGGCACGAAGUCUUCUUUAAAAUCGCCCUGAUGUUUCUCUGGAAGGACCAGUGAGAAGGAGGCCAAAGCGGGUGGGGAGAUACCCCAGGGAGGGGCACCCCAAGUCUAAGGCUCUCAGGGGGUGGAUGAGCCCCAGGGAGCUGGCACCAGGGUGGGAUUUGCCUUGGGUUUGUUUAUAACCAGCAGGUGAAUUUCAUGUAAAGGUCAAUGUUUCAUUUUUGCUGGACGUGGACCAACGCGGACUGGAGACAGGAAGACCCCGAGUGGCAGAAGGUCGCGUGGGGCCCACGAGUGGUUUCCAUCCACCCGAGGGGCAGUGCCGGGGCCCCUGACGCUUCCAGGGACCCACGAGAUGUUUUGAUUUCUUUUAAAAUGAGGCAAGAAAUAAACUUUCAGUAUCAAGAAAACAUUUUCAUAAAUAGCAUUAUGUUCACUCUCACACC